GUCUAUCACCCCUGAAUAUCUCAGGCUUUAAGGGAAUCGGGAGGAAAUGAGAGCAACAAAAAGCAAACGGAAAGGGAAAAAAAUGACGGUGAGCCAGAGCGAAGACUCAGCUUGCAAAGUGCUGCCACGGAACGCAAGUAUCUGCACCCAGAUGUGAUUUAGAAACAGGCUCGGCUACUCCUGCAGCCCCCAGGGGUUGACCCUGAUUGACAUGGAUCCGUCAUAGCUGACACUGUACUCCCUGCUAAUGAUGAAGCCUAGAGAACAAACCUGUGAUCCACUUCUCCCUGGCACGACACCAGCAGAAGACCCAUGGGACUGCUGCAGAGUGAGUCUCUGGUCUUAAGCAAACACAGAAUGAGGUGGCCCCUUCUGUGCCUCUGGCAGCUAUCACAUCUGGAGGUGACUUGAAUCUGCCACAGCCUUUCCCCAACCACAAGGAAAAGAAGCUUUAGAGAGAAGCCUCACUGGCAGUGACAAGAAUGGAGACACGGAAGGACACUGGGUUCUAAAAUUAGUCAGCCUUUCCCGUGGCAAUAAACAACCCCAAUGUGUU
rnacentral:lncRNA from 1 species